GAUGAACGCUAGCGGCAGGCUUAAUACAUGCAAGUCGAGGGGCAGCACAGGUAGCAAUACUGGGUGGUAACCGGCAAACGGGUGCGGAACACGUACACAACCUUCCCUUAAGUGGGGGAUAGCCCAGAGAAAUUUGGAUUAAUACCCCGUAAUAGAGUUGAAUGGCAUCAUUUGAUUAUUAUAGCUACGGCGCUUAAUGAUGGGUGUGCGGCUGAUUAGAUAGUUGGCGGGGUAACGGCCCACCAAGUCUACGAUCAGGAGCUGAUGUGAGAGCAUGAUCAGCCACACGGGCACUGAGACACGGGCCCGACUCCUACGGGAGGCAGCAGUAAGGAAUAUUGGUCAAUGGACGCAAGUCUGAACCAGCCAUGCCGCGUGAAGGAUUAAGGUCCUCUGAAUUGUAAACUUCUUUUAUUUGGGACGAAAAAGGGCCUUUCUAGGUCAACUGACGGUACCAGAUGAAUAAGCACCGGCUAACUCCGUGCCAGCCGCCGCGGUAAUAC
rnacentral:rRNA from 1 species